rnacentral:lncRNA from 1 species
GUUUCCUCUGCAUGAGGCAGCAAUAUGAUUUAUUAUUUCUGCUGGUGACAGUCUUCCUUUGAUAGAAAACAGGAAGGAGUUUGAUUUUUUAGAAGACAUACUGCAUGGACGAAUAAGCUGGUUAGUGGAAGAUGGGACAGCAAUUCUGCUGCCAGCCUCUGUUGAAAAGGAUUUGGUAGGGUAGAGCUAAGGAACCUAAGCAGCCUGUUUGUCGCUGCCUGUACCGCUGGAGGGUAACUUGGCUUCUUCCUGCAGCUUCUUGCACUCUGGCAUUGUGGGGGAAACUCUAUAUUCCACGCCGAACAGACCUGGAUGGAUCCAACCCGCCGGGGGUGGAAGGAAACCAGCACUACAGCUGAGCAUUUUGAUGAUCCAGGAACGCGCCAGCCAGCACCUCAUGCCUUCUUGCUUAAGAAAAGAACCAUUUAUGAUAUUUCCAUGCAAGUGAAGGGCUGCAUUGCUUCCAGUUCCAUCUCAGAACAGCUGUCUUAAAGCUGAAAUCUUUAUAUCACUAUUGGUAACAGCAUUUUAAAUACAUUCUCUUAAAAUAAACUAAUAAAGAAAAUCUUAAAGGUCUGUGUU